AUUGAACGCUGGCGGCAUGCCUUACACAUGCAAGUCGAACGGCAGCGGACCUUCGGGUGCCGGCGAGUGGCGAACGGGUGAGUAAUGCAUCGGAACGUGCCAUUGAGUGGGGGAUAACGUAGCGAAAGUUGCGCUAAUACCGCAUAUUCUGUGAGCAGGAAAGCAGGGGACCGCAAGGCCUUGCGCUCUUUGAGCGGCCGAUGUCAGAUUAGCUAGUUGGUGAGGUAACGGCUUACCAAGGCGACGAUCUGUAGCGGGUCUGAGAGGAUGAUCCGCCACACUGGAACUGAGACACGGUCCAGACUCCUACGGGAGGCAGCAGUGGGGAAUUUUGGACAAUGGGGGCAACCCUGAUCCAGCCAUGCCGCGUGAGUGAAGAAGGCCUGGUU
rnacentral:rRNA from 1 species